rnacentral:rRNA from 1 species
GGUGGGGUAUAGCCUACCAAGACUUUGAUCAAUAGCUGAUUUGAGAGGAUGAUCAGCCACAUUGGGACUGAGACACGGCCCAAACUCCUACGGGAGGCAGCAGUGGGGAAUCUUGCACAAUGGAGGAAACUCUGAUGCAGCGAUGCCGCGUGAGUGAAGAAGGCCUUUGGGUUGUAAAGCUCUUUCGUCGGGGAAGAAAAUGACUGUACCCGAAUAAGAAGGUCCGGCUAACUUCGUGCCAGCAGCCGCGGUAAUACGAAGGGACCUAGCGUAGUUCGGAAUUACUGGGCUUAAAGAGUUCGUAGGUGGUUGAAAAAGUUGGUGGUGAAAUCCCAGAGCUUAACUCUGGAACUGCCAUCAAAACUUUUCAGCUAGAGUUUGAUAGAGGAAAGCAGAAUUUCUAGUGUAGAGGUGAAAUUCGUAGAUAUUAGAAAGAAUACCAAUUGCGAAGGCAGCUUUCUGGAUCAUUACUGACACUGAGGAACGAAAGCAUGGGUAGCGAAGAGGAUUAGAUACCCUCGUAGUCCAUGCCGUAAACGAUGUGUGUUAGACGUUGGAAAUUUAUUUUCAGUGUCGCAGCGAAAGCGAUAAACACACCGCCUGGGGAGUACGACCGCAAGGUUAAAACUCAAAUGAAUUGACGGGGACCCGCACAAGUAGUGGAGCAUGUGGUUUAAUUCGAAGAUACGCGCAGAACCUUACCAACACUUGACAUGUUCGUCGCGACUUUAAGAGAUUAAAGUUUUCGGUUCGGCCGGACGAAACACAGGUGCUGCAUGGCUGUCGUCAGCUCGUGUCGUGAGAUGUUGGGUUAAGUCCCGCAACGAGCGCAACCCUCACUUUUAGUUGCCAUCAUUUAGUUGGGCACUCUGAAAGAACUGCCAGUGAUAAGCUG